rnacentral:rRNA from 1 species
UACGUAGGGUGCGAGCGUUAAUCGGAAUUACUGGGCGUAAAGCGUGCGCAGGCGGUUUUGUAAGCCAGAUGUGAAAGCCCCGGGCUUAACCUGGGAAUGGCAUUUGGGACUGCAAGGCUGGAGUGUGGCAGAGGAGACUGGAAUUCCUGGUGUAGCAGUGAAAUGCGUAGAUAUCAGGAGGAACACCGGUGGCGAAGGCGGGUCUCUGGGCAGUAACUGACGCUGAGGAGCGAAAGCGUGGGUAGCGAACAGG